AGAGUUUGAUCAUGGCUCAGAACGAACGCUGGCGGCGUGGAUAAGACAUGCAAGUCGAACGCUGAUUGUCGGGUAGCAAUAUUCGGCAGUCGGAGUGGCGCAAGGGUGCGUAACACGUGGGUAAUCUGCCAUGAAGUUUGGGAUAACUCGCUGAAAGGCGAGCUAAUACCGGAUGUGAAAAUUGGAAGGCAUCUUUUGAUUUUCAAAGCUGGGGACCGUAAGGCCUGGCGCUUCUUGAUGAACCCGCGGCCUAUCAGCUAGUUGGUGAGGUAACGGCCCACCAAGGCUAAGACGGGUAGCUGGUCUGAGAGGACGACCAGCCACACUGGAACUGAGACACGGUCCAGACACCUACGGGUGGCAGCAGUCGAGAAUUUUUCACAAUGGGCGCAAGCCUGAUGGAGCGACGCCGCGUGGGGGAUGAAUGGCUUCGGCCCGUAAACCCCUGUCAUUUGCGAACAAACGUUAUUAUUUAAAAGAUGAUGACCUGAUUGUAGCGAAAGAGGAAGGGACGGCUAACUCUGUGCCAGCAGCCGCGGUAAUACAGAGGUCCCAAGCGUUGUUCGGAUUCACUGGGCGUAAAGGGUGCGUAGGUGGCGGGGUAAGUCGGAUGUGAAAUCUCCGAGCUCAACUCGGAAAUGGCAUUGGAAACUACCUUGCUCGAGGGUUGGAGGGGGGACUGGAAUACUUGGUGUAGCAGUGAAAUGCGUAGAUAUCAAGUGGAACACCAGUGGCGAAGGCGAGUCCCUGGACAACUCCUGACACUGAGGCACGAAAGCUAGGGGAGCAAACAGGAUUAGAUACCCUAGUAGUCC
rnacentral:rRNA from 1 species